rnacentral:tRNA from 1 species
AGCCCCGUAGUAUAGCGGCCAAGUAUACUGGCCUUUGGAGCCAGGGACGGCAGUUCGAAUCUGCCCGGGGCUA